UACAGAGGUCCCAAGCGUUGUUCGGAUUCACUGGGCGUAAAGGGUGCGUAGGCGGGUCUUUAAGUCAGGGGUGAAAUCCUGGAGCUCAACUCCAGAACUGCCUUUGAUACUGAAGAUCUUGAGUUCGGGAGAGGUGAGUGGAACUGCGAGUGUAGAGGUGAAAUUCGUAGAUAUUCGCGAGAACACCAGUGGCGAAGGCGGCUCACUGGCCCGAUACUGACGCUGAGGCACGAAAGCGUGGGGAGCAAACAGG
rnacentral:rRNA from 1 species